GGACGAACGCUGGCGGCGUGCCUAACACAUGCAAGUCGAGCGAGGAGAUCCUUCGGGAUGAUCCUAGCGGCGACGGGUGAGUAACACGUGGGCAACCUGCCUCAUAGAGAGGAAUAGCCUUCCGAAAGGGAGAUUAAUACCUCAUAACAUUGCAGUUUCGCAUGGAACAGCAAUUAAAGGAGUAAUCCGCUAUGAGAUGGGCCCGCGGCGCAUUAGCUAGUUGGUGAGGUAACGGCUCACCAAGGCGACGAUGCGUAGCCGACCUGAGAGGGUGAUCGGCCACAUUGGGACUGAGACACGGCCCAAACUCCUACGGGAGGCAGCAGUAGGGAAUCUUCCGCAAUGGACGAAAGUCUGACGGAGCAACGCCGCGUGAGUGAAGAAAGGUUUUCGGAUCGUAAAACUCUGUUGUCAGAGAAGAACAAGUUGGAGAGUAACUGCUCCAGCCUUGACGGUAUCUGACCAGAAAGCCACGGCUAACUACGUGCCAGCAGCGGC
rnacentral:rRNA from 1 species